rnacentral:lncRNA from 13 species
CCAGCGGCGGCGAGGAAAGUCUCUCAGAGAGCGUGAAGGGGGAUUGAAGGCGGUUUUAUUUCUCUUUGUGCGGGUGGCUGGGACUGGAUAGAGGCGGCCCAGCCGGUGGCCACGGGAUUGGGACUCCCCGCUGAGCCGAGAGGCUCGCGACAAAAGAUGCUUCCCGCUGGGGUCGCUGUCUCGGCGCCCCGACUUUGCACGCGGCGCCCACACCCCUGGGGAGCCCGCCCGCUGCGCUGAGAUUCCCCGGCGUCCAGGCUGGGCAAGGGGCCGGGAGCGUAUGUAGGCGGCGCUGACCCUGACCUUCGGAACCUAGGAAGGGAUCCUGGAGCUUCGCGGAGGCGGCGAGCGGCCGAGCCGCGCCAGGGAACCAUGCUGCCCUUGGAAACUCCGCGCACCUCCGCGGAUGCCCCUCACCCUGGCCCCCAGCGUUCAGGGCCCUGUGGAGAGCCCCGUUUCCCCGCGGUGCUUCCCCAACCGGAGUAAGGUGGGUUUGUCCUCCUCCCUCCUCCGUCACCUCCUUUUUCUCCCCCUCGUUCACCUUCUCCUUCCCUCUAUCCAUCCAGAGCCCGGCCAAAGUGCGCACCUGACCUUUCUCCUCUUUCCCUGCUCUUCCUCUCCUCCUCCUCUUCCUCCUCCUCCCUGGAGAAAGGGUCCCAGAGAAGCGCAGGUGGGGGUCCCUCUGACAGUGGCUGGAUUGGGAGUGACAGGCGCCCAAAUGGCCAAGUGGCUACUGGACAACCUGAGCUUUGGCGGUCGGAGGCCCCCUUGGCAGUCACCCACCCGGGACUAUACCGAGAGCGACAUCCUGAGGGCCUACCAGGAGCAGAAGAACCUGGACUUCGAGGACCCCUAUGAGGACGGUGGAGAGCCGCCUGGAGCUGGACCCUAUGGGCCCAGGGGACUCCAAGAAGCCCGGAGAUUCCAAGAGCAGCCAGGGGUUCCUGCACCUGAAAUCCUCAAGGACCCCAGAGAACCAAGUGGUGCUGGGAAAACACACUAGGCCCUUUCCCAGCAUGCUGGAGCUGGUUCAGGCCCCCUGCCAGUAUCUGGCUGUGCUGUGCCUCAUAGUCAUGCAGACCCCCUGACAGUGACACUCAGCCCCCUUUUGAGUCAUUGGGCCCAGAAUUGUAUCCCAAAGCCCUCCCCUGGCCUAGAAAAUAAAUAAGUUAUUGUUUGUCUUAGUGUCCUUUCU